UAUAUAUAUAUAUAUAAUAUGGUUUAUUUUCCUUUAAAGGACACUCAUUCCUUUAUUUUACUUUCCUGCCCCUUUGUGCAAAAAGUUGUAGACACUAUUUUAGUUGUCCAGCAUGCAUGUGGCUUAUUUUGUGGAAAGUGGUAUGGAAGAUGCUUUUUUAUUAAAUUCAUGAAUAUUUCCCCCUUGAAAUCACACACAAAAAAGUAACUAAAAUCUUUCUGUUUAUUUCUGUUACUUAAUUUAUCCACAGUCUCUAACCACAGUAAUACAUCUCUAUUUCCAGCCUUUGUUAUAAACAAAAAUUAAUAUUCUAGAAGCCAAGUUAUAUAGACUAGAAAGUGGAGGAGUCCUAUAGAUAAUUCCUUUGUAAUAAUUUAAAACAUUUGCAUUAAUCUUUCCUUACAAUAUGCCUUUUAAAAAAUUUUUCCAAGCUACUCAUCCACUUAGGGGCAAGAGAAAACCUUAUUCAUCUAACUCUGAUAGGCAUUUAACUAAUUUACCUGAAUAGAAGCCUUAUUAAAACCCACGUAAUGCAUUCAGCCAACUUGGCAUCGAAUAUAGCUUCUAAUUCACUUCUCAACCCCAGACGUACAAUGGUUUGCCAAGAAUGAGACAGGUGUUGCUAUGUCAUCUUGUGUUCUACACUAGUGUAAAGGGUGAUAGCUGACCCCAAACAUCAGUGGUGUUCCCAGACAAAUGUAGAAUCAUGCUUCCUUUCAGGACCUGAAUCUCCUCUGUUAUUUUGCUAACAAGUCCCCACCCCAUAUCUUAAGACCUGGCCAGUAUGUAGAACUAUUCACAGCAGUCCAUUCUACUAUUAGGGUAGCUCUUUACUACAAAAGUUCUUCCUCGUGCUGAAUGUAAUUUUGUCUCUGGGGCUUUGCAAAACAAGACUAAUGUCUCAAUCUUUGCUUUGAGAACAGAUAUCACUAACUCUUUCAACUCUUUCCCAUUUAUGAACAUGGUGUCGAGUCCAGUCACCCUUCUGUUUCUCCUUUGGCCAACUGGACAAAUACAGUUCCUAAUUUUAUUUCAGUCUACUUGAUGAAACUUUCUUGGGGUUGAAAGUAAAUGGAAUUGAAGUCACCCAAAAGAAACUGAUGCUCAAUGUGGAAAUUUUCCCCAAGGACUCAGACCCAGGAGGGUGUGGAAGGUAGAUGAGACUAGAUUGCCCAUGUGUACAAAACAAACCUUUUACGACUUUGUGUCCUGUACUAUUUUUGAGGUAGCCAAAAUCAAAGUCAUUCUGAAAACAGGAAGCAAGCUAAUGUGUAUGCCAUGCAUGAGAGUCCCACUUCUUGAUAAAUGUUCAUAGAGUCUCUGUAACCCUUUCCCUUUGUCUCUGUCUUCUCGGUAAUAAUACAUUUCUUGUCCAUGUUCCCACGCUGAAGAUGCAAAUAGAGUUAUGGAUACUUUAUAGGUUCAACACAAAUAUUUACCGGCUGACCGGUUUUGAGAUUGGCUUCCCUUCUGUGCUCAAAUGUUUGUAUCUGGAGAUGCACUUUAAACCAAGUGAGCAGCUUCCCUACAUGAUCAGUCAAGAACUAGCCUUAGGAGUCCAUAUUUCUCUUUACUUUUGUCUAACCCCUUCAUCCCUUAAUCAUCUCCUGAAUCUAAUAAUUACUAUAAGAGAAUCAGCCCCCAUAUAUAACUUUGAUUCAGUCCAGCUGUAAUAAGAUCAAACAGGUUCAAUAUAUACUCAGGAAUAUUGAACUGAGAAGGACACUUCUUCCCAGUGGCAUCAGCAGGGCUUCAUGAAGGAGUGAAAUUUGGUACGAAAUCUUGAACUGAUUCAUUUGAUUUGAUGUAGACGUUGAAGGAAGAAUAUUUAAGUCACUAGAAAUGGAAGAAAAUCACAGGCUAUAUUCAGAGAAUACCCUCUACCUUAAAUAGUACAGAUUCUGGAAUUUCCUUAACAGGAGAAAAAACUCCCAGAUAUUCAGGGUCAAUGGAAAGGUAAAAGGCAUAGAGGAAGCCUAAUUCAACUGUUAUUUUCUAUCUUGUCUCUUUAUAAUUGAAAGAUAGGAUGAGCUGCCAAAAUAUAAUCCAGCACCUACAGUAUGAAGAGGGAAUUGUAGCUACUCUACUCUUGGAGCAGACACAUGUGUCUUUUGAACCCUUGCAAGAGAAGAAAAGCAAGACAUGCUCAUUUUCCUAUUGCUUUAGGUCCACAGUUGGAAAGUCCCCACCAUCAUCUCUUCCACUUGUGUACGAAACAAGUUAAAAUUCCCUUACAGAUUAAUUGCUAAGUGAUAAUUCAGCCUCUGCUUAAGCAUCACCUGCAUCAACAAGCUCUCGGGCCUUCCAUUUCCCCCAUCAUACUUUGUUCUAAGCUCCCCCUGACUCUGAAGCAGAAUGAGAUUUGGGAAUUAUGUUCUCCAGAGUGCCACACAAAACUAAUCUUUAGUACAUAAUAAAAUGUUCUUCCUUCCUUCAUUUUCCUUUCAAAUAUGCUUAUUUUCGUUUUGGCAACACAUUACUUAAAAAAAAAAACUUUGAUGUUUAGCUAAAGAUUAUAAAAACCUUUAAACAUCCUUAAAAAUAGUCUGAAGGAUUUUUUGAGGGUCAGGUUUUAGAGCUUAUGACUUUUUUGUUGUUUUUAUUUUCUUACUCAAAACACAAAUUGCUCUGACACUUGUUACGUAGUGUUAUGCCCUUUCCCAGUGACCAACCCAUGAACAGUACACUCCAGUUACCUGGCCUACUGAUAAUGACCUUAAAAUGUCGAAAUAUGUCAGGGGUUUCUGGGUGAUUCAGUUGGCUAAGCAUCCAACUCUUGGUUCCGGCCCAGGUCAUGAUCUCAUGGUUUCGUGAGCUUGAGCCCCAUGUCAGGCUCUGUGCUGACAGUAUGGAGCCUGCUUGGGAUUCUCUCUCUCUCUCUCUCUCUCUCUCUCUCCUUCCCUGCCCCACUCAGGCCCUCUCUGUCUCUCUCAAAAAUAAAUCAAUAAACUUAAAAAUUUUUUUAUAAAAAAAUGUUGAAAUAUGUCAGUGCAUGAUCUCCACUUCUAAAAAGGAAGAAGUCCAAAGCAAAAGUUCGUGGUUGUACUGAAACUCUUACUUCUGGCCAGUUGUUCUGUGCCAAAAGAAAUCAUUCUUGGGGGAAGGGGUUAUACUAUGCUCUUAGGUAGAAACGUAUAAAUUCUUUCAUUGUUGCCCUGGCUUAACCAUGUAGUUUCAGUACUUUUCCUCUCCAGUUUCAAGUUAGCCCUAUUGGCAGAACCUGUCAUGAGUCUCCUGGGCAGGACCUGGGGGUGGCUUUCCGAGCUCUAAAAUAAUAAUUCCUAAGAGAGCUUACAAACUGCUUUCACACAUGAAACAGCCCUGGGAGGAAGGUUAUUAAUAGCCCUAUCCUAGAAGAGAAAGCUGAGGCUCAGAAUCGUUAAGUGACUUGCCAAAAGCGAUCCAGCUGGUGAGUGGCAGAUCUGGGGACACAGCCAGGUCUGGAAGUCCAGUGCCCCGGUGGCCACUCUCUGGGCACGAGGUGUGCUCUGCACAGACUGAAGUGCCCCCUGUCCAAAGGCACACAGGGAAAUUCUCAAAGGCCAUUCUGGACCUCAAGCGGCAGAUCCACGUGGGCACUGUGGUGCUUGCGAUCGCUGAGAGCUCGUGUGCACAGUCUGUGUCAUCUUGUGGCAAGCUACUAGAUAUUCUGUCUUAUCAGCGUGGUGAGGAUGCCGGUAGGGAAAGGCCACCGCUAAGAGCAAACAACUGUGGCACCGAAGCACACUGCAGCAAAUUUCCCCAGAGACUGCUGGUUUACUUUACAUUAAGGGGAAAACUCUGGAACUGUGAGGUCCAGAAUAUCAACCAAGAUCAGAUCAUUUAGAAAGCAGUAGGGUGCAGAGGUGACUUGAUCCUUAAGUCUCUCUCCUGUGGGCUAAGAUUUAUGCCCCACAGACACGGAGACUGCUGGAGGCAAACGAUGCUUAUUAUUCUCCCCAUCAGUUCGCAUUUACGGAGGCCCACGGUGUAUGUCACUGCAUCAGGCAUUUCCCAACCAACCCACCCAUGACCUUGAAAUGUCUGGGAACAGACGCUGCAGGACUGAAUGCGGCUCUGAAUCUGGUCUUUGCCAUUUGACAGACAGGGCUUCCCAGGCUCUGGUGGUUUCGUGAUUUGUGUAUGCUUAUUCCAGGGAGUUUCGUAUUGUGUUGUUCCCAGGAUACUCAAUUGGAAGCUUCCGUGUACAUUCUAGAAGCCGCUCUACCUGGCAGCUCAACAACUAACCAGCCGUUCCUUUUCUUAAGCCUCAUCUCUCAGGAAGAUGUGCCUUUGGAUGCGUGCUCUCAGGCUUUUAUUUCCAACCAUUUUAUUUCCAACCGUUUCCAACCAUAGUUGUUUGGCUUUAAAGUUAAAAAUCUGUGAACUGAUUGAAAGAUAUUCUCUCUUCAUCUAAGUUAAAUCUACUGUAGGAAACCUUUAAAAUGAUCUUCUCUCACACGCUUUCUAGGCUUUUCCCUCCAUCCAUCAAAGCAGUCUCACCAUCCAUCUGCUUAUUCCAUGGGAUUAAUGAGGGCCAAGUUAAAUCACAAAUGGCCUCUCCCCCCUUUCCACUCUUCACACCUGGAAUACACAGGACGUGCCAGCGGGGGCAUAACCUUAGUUGAAAUGGCAACAUUCAGAGACUGUAAAGGUGCCUCACCUUCCUGUGAGCUUUGAUAAAUGCUUUGGCCGGAGGAGUGGAGACGAAUUGUUGUAGGAUAGAUGGAUUGGCACCACCCAGGAGUGGAUUAGCAGAAGAAGCAUUUGGCGGACUCCAGACUUAUCCAGGCGAACAUGCUUGAGUGGAGACUCCCGUGAGUAGAGCCUGUGACUUGUCAUUAGCAGGAAUAAAAGGACAGUGAGGCAGUGAAGAUGAAAAAGCGGCCCUUUCAAAAAAAUCGAGGGAGUCACAAACCCUGAGUUCCCUUUACACAACGUAAAGAAAACUGUCAAGGAAAAUAUUAAGACUUUUCCUUCUUCCAUUGCAUACGAUACAGUCCCCCCGCAUGUAGGGAAAACACAAUCUUGUUGUCAUCAAGCACACUCUUGUGCACAUGCACACACACACGCUCACACAUACGCACACACAAACAUCUUCCAGGAAAGCUGAUCCUUCAGAAAUCUUAUUUUGAAACGCUUGGGUUUUUGAGGCCAGGAAAUUAAUAAUUCCUAGACCUGACCCAUUUUUGUGACUGCCAAAAAGGAAAAGACAAAGCUCUUUGGAUUUUCUAUGGAUCCUUUUCUCUCUUAAAAUAUGCCAAGACAAGUGGAGGUGGGGGUGGAAGGGAAAGCAUUUCUCUCUUUACAUUUCUAUCCGUGGGGAAAAGGGUCAGGACUACUCCCUGGGCCAUUCCUAUUGAUGCAUCAUGUUACCACGACGAAGGUGCCUGCUUGCUUCAGGCCGAGAUGUGAGACUAACACUUGCUCUCCUGACUCCAUUUCCUCUUAUGAUCAGGGAGCAAAUAUUAAGUUGGAAUGUCUUUCCUCAUCAAAUUACUUAACUCCAUUUCCAAACUGGUGUGGAAAAUGCAAAAAGAGGAGCGCUGGUUUUUCUUGGAUGCACGUCUCCUUUCUUUUCUUUCUUGGGAGACUUAAAUAUAAAGAGGGGAGUAAAAUCCAACACCUUCUCGUCUCUUUUUCUCUGUGGGUGACAGCUGAUGAUCACUUAGGAACUAUAAGCCAGAAGGAGCAGAAUAGCAUAGCCAGGUUAUGAUGUAUCUGCCAACUUGUUUCAUUCCUUCAAAUACAGACUUCCCAGGAAACGGGAUUUUUAUCAGUUAAAUGCCAACAAUAGAAAUAGUCUGAUUUUAAUUUCAAAUGGUAAAAGGCAAGCCGAUAUUUGGGCAGUGUUUGCAUUUUACUAACCCUAUAUAUCUUCUGCUUAGUUCUUAGAUGAAUGCCAAGUACAUCAGUGUAUCAGGAAGAAAUUGCCAGAAAGAGCUGAAGUGCCUUAGACCUCUCUCACUAAGUAGCAAAUUGAAAAUGUGCACACCACGCAGCCUUCUGACUCCACUGAAAUGCCAGGACUGAGAUGUGUCCUGGAUGAAAGAGAUUUAAGGGCCCUGGAAACUGAAUCGUGUCACCAAAAUGUAUAGUGACGUAGUUGCAAAAUCACGUUUAAAUGACUUUUUCCCUUUAACUCCCUAUUUAUUCUCUUGGGAAAGCUGAAAAGCAAAUUAUGCAAGAAUUACUUCCUCAUUACACAAAGUCAGGAUAUCUCCCCCCCCCAAAAAAAAAUCUGAAUUAUGCCCUCAUUCUUUUUCAGGAAACAUAUCAAAGAGCAAACAGAAUUAAAGACGACACUUGAUUGUCUGAUCCUUCAGCAUGAAAAAAAUUAUCUUGUGAUUUAACGUGCCUUCCGUGAAAAUUUCGAUAUGGAAUUUUCACAGCUGGAUGUAGUGUUAACUUUUAUCAGGAUACCUAUGCAGUGAAUCACUUUGUUUCUUGGUUUGUGUUGUCUUGUAAACUUCACGUUUAUCAUCAGUUUAACAGAUUUGGGGGCUCUUUCUCUGCUGGGAGUACGUGCAAUUAUGAGACGCCCCCCAAAAAGGAAGGGAAAGGUUUCCCUGAGCAGCAGAUCUGUGCCAUGAAGGAGAUGUGACAUAGAGAUGCGGAGCCCGAGGAUAGUAAUUCUCUCUGAGCUGCGCACACGAGCUUUUAUUUCAUGGCUUUGUCACAGGCUUUUCUCCUUCUGUGCCGUCACCUUUGAGAAAAACGAUUGCACCUUCUCCAAGUCUGCCUUUUUAACAGCUUCAUUUGAGUUGGCAAGACUUCCCGAGCUCUGAAUAUAGCCAUUUGCCGACUCCGGCCUCUUUGCGAGACUGACUCAAAUCUGUGAUCUUCUGUUCAGCAUACACAUCAGCAAAGUGAGAAGAUGAGCACUAAAUAUAGGCUCUAUUAACUUUACUUUUAGAUUUACUGCCUUCAAAAAGUGCCUAUUCUGAGAAACAUAAACGUUAUUCCUACAUAUGUAUGUACACACGGUACCCAGUCAUACCGUGCAGCCUUCAAAAACAUACCAUCUAAAGGAGUAGGUGCUAAGAUAAGGAAGGCUUGCCAAAUGAAAGAAAGUCACUCAUUUCCAAUAUCCCCUCUCGAGUGGCACCGUGAAACAGGCUGCACACACAUUCCCUGAGCAUUCCUUGCUGAUACAGCCACUUUAUAUUUAUAUCCCACUGGAUGGCGUGCUGCUGAGGCCUCCUGUACUCUGCUUCAUGGGAGUGUAUGCUGUAUGGAAUUGGAACAUUUGAUCAGGAAAGAAAAAAAAAAAAAAACAUUGUUUAAGAGAAUUAAUAGAGCCAGGAUCUGUAUUAGGAUAUGUGUCAUAUGUGUGUUUUAUAAACUAAACAUUGGUGGGUUUAGAAUGUCAGCACAUUUCUUCUCCUUUUAUCUCGCAGGCUAACUAACAUCAGUGAACACUAAAGAAAAGUCUUGGCUGUGAGGCUCGGAGGCUCACGGGGCCAAGUGUCCUUGCCAGAUCCUUCGAGCGUCUUUACCUCGACUCCCCAAAAGAGUAGCAUAUGUUAUUGAGUGGCUUUUGUGUCCGUAGUUCUGACAUUGGCCUUGCAACUGUAGAUAUUGCUGACGGAGCAGCAGCACAGCCUAGAAUGAAGGAUUCGUAUCCAGGUGUGGUGGUAGGAGAGGGUCCGGAUAAAUGGGACGAGGUAGACCGUGCAUGAUUUUAGGAAAAAGGGUUGAAGGGAGGACGUGCUUCCAAAAAAGAUCUUUCUCAAUGUGUCGUCUGACUCAACCAGCUGGCAAAUUACACUUGCCAAGUCGCUCUCUUUCCUUCUAAGUCAUUUGGCUCCAUGUUCAUUUGAAUACGCCUCUCCUUUGGGAAAGAGAGAUGCUUCCAGUUAGCCUUUCUCCAAGGAAGCUCUUGACGUCGUCUUGGUUGCAAAGUUAUCUCCUGCCCCACCCACUUUCACCAAAAGGAAGUAAAGGGGGAUGAGCUAUAGGAGGUGGUUUCCAUGGCACUGCAGUCGGCCAUCAUUCUGCCUUCCAUAUAAGGAGCCCCCCUGUAUAAACCAGGGAUGAGGCUGGAACAGAUUACUGUUGCAUAAUCUCGAGUGUGGACCACUCUGCUUGAGCUGUCAUCAUUUUAUGAGACCAGUUGGCUCCUUGGAGAAAGAGUGAUACUCGUCACUAUAAAUGUCUACUCUUCCUGUUGACGUCCAUUUUCUGUUUUUACCUUAUCCAAUUUCAACACUAGUCAUUUUCUAUGUUUUAGAGAAUCAGAUGGUAGUGCUAGGUAAGAGUGGAAGAAUCUCUGUGUGAUGUCAGAGGAAGUAUUGGGAUAUGGGGGCUUUCUUCUCGGGAACAAGAUGGGCUGGGAAAGAGACAACAUGGCUUUGCUCCAGGUUUCAACCUGUUCACCAUGACUAUGAGGGAUAGUUUUGUGUAAAUGUUAAAGGUACUUAUAAGUGGACAGAGAAAGGAGAAGGGGGAGACAGGGAGAGGCCAGGUUUUCUCUAUGCUAAAUGUAUCUACGAAGAGCAAGAACUUCCCACGAAGUCCAUCAUAGCCCCACCAUGAUCAGCUGCUAGUCAGAAUAACAUCCCCCGGCUUGGGGAAAGCCACAGGAAAACAUACAGGGAAUAUGCCUUUUUUCACAUGUAUGGUACUGACAGAGCCAUGGUAUUCCUAAAAUAUAGGUUUCUCUUUCUUAUUUUAUUCUUAGCAAAUCACAUUUCUCCACUACAUCAUGAACCAUCACUGACUUAUCCAAAAUAACCCACAUGAUUCCUUAUGAAAAUAAGAGAAUGAAACCUGUUAUAAGCAAGUGAUUUGGGAAUUUUUUUUGUCUUUAUGUAUUAUCCAAUUAUAUUCAAACAUAUUUCUAUUUACCUUCUAUCUGUUUUUUCUCUCAAUUAUGUUUUUCCAAUGCUCUAUAAGAAUAAAUAUGAAAAUGAUAUUCCUUUUUUUCUGUAAGAGAACUGCAACUCCUUUAUUAUAUUUAGAAAUCCAAUAAACUUAUUACAUAUACUUGUCUUUGUGUGGAAUUUUUUUUGUGAGCUGGAUAAUCCUUGUUUCCUUUCUUCUGACCCCUUUUACUGUGAGACUUGUUUUUAUAUCAUUUGCUUUCCAGAUGGCCUUUUGAGAAGGGAAUGCCUCUCAGAGCAAAUAUGAUGCCGACAAGAGUAGGAAGGCACCCAGUCUCCUCCACUAACAGCACGGAAGAUCUUAAGGUCUGCAGGAGGACCCCAAUACCCCUGACACCCAGUCUGCUAACCCUUAAGAGUGAGGUGAACUAGAGGGCACAUGAAAGUCCUCCAUAAAAUUCAGAAAAGUGUAUCCCUCUCUUUCCCACUUGGCCUUGGGUUUCAUCUCUUCAGCAUCACGUGUCAGUCUGCCAGUGCUGAGGGAUCUGAGGACACAGGUGCCAGAACCCUGCAUCCAAGAGGCCACCAUUUUUAAAGGUGCCAGACACAAGAUACGUCUUUGAAUAAACAAA